AUCUUUAGUUGAUUAAAGAAUUUCGGAAACGGAUAGGCUCGCGUGACAUUAGCUAGAUGGCGGGGUAACGGCCCACCAUGGCGACGAUGUCUAGGGGUUCUGAGAGGAAGGUCCCCCACACUGGAACUGAGACACGGUCCAGACUCCUACGGGAGGCAGCAGUGAGGAAUAUUGGUCAAUGGUCGAAGGACUGAACCAGCCAUGCCGCGUGAAGGUGACGGCCCUAUGGGUCUUAAACUUCUUUUGUAAGGGAGCAAUAAGUCCUACGUGUAGGACGAUGAGAGUACCUUACGAAUAAGCAUCGGCUAACUCCGUGCCAGCAGCCGCGGUAAUACGGGGGAUGCAAGCGUUAUCCGGAUUUAUUGGGUUUAAAGGGUGCGUAGGCGGUCUGGUAAGUCAGCGGUGAAAUUUAGGGGCUCAACCUCUACCGUGCCGUUGAUACUGCCGGGCUAGAAUGCGGAUGCCGUGGGAGGAAUGUGUGGUGUAGCGGUGAAAUGCAUAGAUAUCACACAGAACACCGAUUGCGAAGGCAUCUCACGAAUCCGCAAUUGACGCUGAGGCACGAAAGCGUGGGGAUCAAACAGGAUUAGAUACCCUGGUAGUCCACGCUGUAAACGAUGAUGACUAACCGUCGGCGAUACACUGUCGGUGGCCAAGCGAAAGCGAUAAGUCAUCCACCUGGGGAGUACGACCGCAAGGUUGAAACUCAAAGGAAUUGACGGGGGCCCGCACAAGCGGAGGAACAUGUGGUUUAAUUCGAUGAUACGCGAGGAACCUUACCCGGGCUCGAACGGCAGGGGAAUGAAUCAGAGAUGGUUCAGUCUUCGGACUCCUGUCGAGGUGCUGCAUGGUUGUCGUCAGCUCGUGCUGUGAAGUGUCGGCUUAAGUGCCAUAACGAGCGCAACCCUUGCCGUUAGUUGCCAUCAGGUUAUGCUGGGGACUCUAGCGGGACUGCCACCGCAAGGUGUGAGGAAGGGGGGGAUGACGUCAAAUCAGCACGGCCCUUACGUCCGGGGCGACACACGUGUUACAAUGGCGAGUACAGAGGGAAGCUACCUGGCGACAGGAUGCAGAUCUCGAAAGCUCGUCCCAGUUCGGAUUGGAGUCUGCAACCCGACUCCAUGAAGUUGGAUUCGCUA
rnacentral:rRNA from 1 species